AUAGUUUCGUGCGAUUUCUCAAUUACCACUGCGAACGCGCUUCUCUAAGACUCUGGCAUGGCUAGUUAUAAUACUUGACUACAAAAUCCCCGAAAUGGCAUCAAGGAAAGGAUUUGAAGUAUUUGUUUCUAAAUUGUCAUGGACUGUCGGUGUGCACCAGGUUUCGGAACCAUAGGUCAUUGCCGGUAGAACACAUCGAUUAAAACUGUUCUUUUAAGCAAAGAAGUAAUCCGGAGUGGUCCAAGACUUUCGAUAAGAUCGAUUGCCAUCUGUUGCAAGUACACCCUGAGCCACAAUAAGAAUUGGAAGUGGAAUAGAGUUACACUCGAGAAGACUACACAUAACCAUCCAUGCGGCCUGGUCAGCGAAGAAAUUCAUGGAGCAGGAAUUAGUUGUAGAGGAGAAAGUUGCUUGGAACUUGAAAGGCAUCCGCCCAUCUGCACGCAGCUAUCUGAUGGUGAGAUGAGGUCUGAUGUCACUGUCGAAUGGCCAUGCAAGUCGACUGACUUCCUCCAUCCACAAAAGGACUCAAUUUUAGUACGAAGAGUAGGACGUGGAUGGUAGACUUCUGUUGACGAGUAUCCUGAAAAUACCAUGGUGGAAAGUUCUCCCGAUGUAGUCCAUCAUGCUGAGGAGGUGAUCAAGAUCAAGUUGAUCUUCCGCUUGCCUGAGGAACCUUGGGGAGGGAGCAGGGAAGGGAGGGUACUAGAGCAUAAAGUAAAAAGGGUAUAAAAAUUUCCAAACCCAAGAAGUAAUCUCCAACUCUGGAUACGUGAAAAGGGUAUUAUAAAGGCUAGAGAAAACAUGAAAAAUACUUGUUUAGGCGGGUAUCGUUCCUUUGAGAAGGGAUCUGAAAUGAAGAAUGUUUACUUUAGGGUCAAUUUUGAAAGUCCAUGGACGAGCAUACAUCCAUCCAUUCAUUCAACCAUCCUUCUAUCUAUUCACCCAUUUAUUCAUUCAUCUAUCCAUCCAUUAAUCUAUCCAUCCAUUCAGCCAUCCAUCCAUUCAUUAAUAUUCAUGCAUGCUCACAUACAUGCAUUCAUCUAUCUAUCCAUCCAUCCAUCCGUCCAUCCAUCCAUUCAUUAAUUCAUGUAUGCUCGCAUACAUUCAUUCAUCCGUCCAUCCAUCCAUCCAUUCAUUCAUUCAUUCACUCACUUAGCCAUUCAUUGAUUUGUGUAUGACCACAUGCAUUCAUUUAUUUAUUUAUCCAUCCAUCCAAUCACUCAUUUGUUCAUUCAUUCAUUCAUUUAUCAAUCCAUCCAUUCAUUAAUUCAUAUACGAAUGUCAAAUGAAAAAAAAUUGUAAUAUAUUUAUAUAUUGUAAUUUUUUUAUGUUGUCUGAUAUUGAUUACUUCCUCUCUUUGAUUUAUGUUUAUUCAGUGCCCUGGUAUAUUUACUUCUUUUAGGGUGAUUAUCUUCAUUCACUCUUGGUGCACAGGUUAGAUGCAGAAGUGUAGAAAAUUUGUAGACCAUACAACCUCUCAGAUGCAAAUUCCAUUACACAUAAAAAAAAAAAAAGACUGCCGGUGAUAAGGCAAAUAUUUCAAUGGACCGUUUUGAAGUGAAUUAAUUUUAUGGACAUUUCUAUCUCUUUUUUUUUUUUUUGGGGGGGGGGAUGGGGUGGGACUAAGUAACGAUAUAUUUCUGAUAUCUGCAUUCUGUACCGACCGCACAGAAACGUUGUUAGUCUAACAGAACGUUAACAGUAAGCCCAGUCACAUCUUCCGGAUUGUGAAGUCAAAACAUGUAUUUCAAUGUGUAAAUAAUGUAUUGUUGUAACAUUAGGCAUCGCUGCCACAUUACCUGCUGUAACAGGGCCUCUGUGAACGCAUUGUUACCCUAACAACGUUUCUGUGCGGUCAGUACUGGUAAUUAUCACCUGACAAAAAAUAAGCUUUAUAGAAUUCGACAAAUAAAAAUGUUUCGUUGUAUGUUUUUGAUUGCUCUCAUCUCCCAAAAGAAUAAAAUACGGUAGGGCUAUUUUUACAAGUGCACCUGGUAAAUCCGAACUAUUAGUUGCUGUGUAAAUGAAAUAUGGCCAAAUUUUUAAAGAAUUGUUAUUUUGCCUUGAUGAUUAAUUAAUAAAUGAUUGUGUUACAACUAUUGGCGGUGAUUCCGGGUGAAGGGAACAUGCCCCCCUUCCCCUUUGAUUUUUAAAAUUUUGUACAGAAGUUUAUUGGAAAGGGCUGUCGUCCAUCCCCCCCCCCCCCCCCCCCCCAUAUGGACCAAAAAUCCCAUGAAAUCGCCGCCAAUGGUUAAGCUCCUUUUGGCUACUUGUAUUUAUUCUAAUACAAAACGGUUUCCUCUCUGCCAUUCUCCCUCUCUUUCUUUCUGUUCAUCCAUCUCUUCCCCUGUCUCUCUCCUCUCCUUUCUCAACUCUUUCUCUCCCCCCUGCAGAUCUUAUUUGCUCAUGAGCAAAGAAGAUGAUCUACCUCUGAAGGGACUUUCACACUUAGUUUUGCGACCGUUUGGUUACAUUAAAAUUUGCCCAUGAUAGUAAUGCCCGCAAUGGUCGAAUGACUAAUUUUGAAAUCCCCUUUAUGUAUAUUCUGCCUACCUCAUUUUCUUUCGGAUUUUGAAAAAUAGUGAAAUGUAUCUUCACAUGAAUUAACUAUAUUCAAAACUUGAGCAAAACAUCUUAUAAUAGAUGUUACAAACUUUGGAAAACUAAAAUUUGUCUAACUAAACAACCUUUCACAUUGCCAAUUUGAAAUAAUAGUCAUUUUUGUUUUGUAAAUUCCAUAUAAUCUUUAUGAAUUGCAUUUCUUAAUGCAUUGAUGAUUAAUUAAAACUAUGAACCAAAUAGGUGACAAAAUACAGGACAUCAUAAAAUACUAUUCAAGCAAAUUUAGAAUAUAGUUCAAAAUCAAAAUGUAUUGAAUAAAAUUAUUUUCAUUUUGUGAAGUUCACUCUUCUAAAAUAUUAAAAACUGAAGAUAUUUCUAAAUGUCGAACUGACAAGAUUCUUGUAACUUAUAAGCUGAAAUUGUUGUGGUUUUGCAUUUCACUAAUUUUACAAGAUAAUCACCGGCAAAAUUGCCACUAACUUGAAUAUUUGGCUUAUACAGUGCAGAAGGUAAUUUGAAUUGUGAGGGUCAUUGAAAAC